GUUGAUAUCGAUGGGGACGGCAAUUUUAUCAUGAACAUUCAGGAGCCGGCCACAAUCCACGUCGAGAAGCUCCGGUCUUGAAUAAUCAGCAUCUGGGAAUGGUUGCACAAUGGGAGGAUCGAUUUUACAAGGCAAACCGAGCUCACACACACCUGGGCGAUCUGGACGCGGAAGCAGAGAUCUAUCCUGACUUCCGGGACCAAUGUCGGAUUCUCACGGGGAGGACAGGCCAUAGAAGGAGAAAGCUCGGGCUUUGGGGUGUUCAUCAGAACAAGGCAUAGAGCUUGUCUUUCAUCAUCAGAACUCUCACGAUUGUUAUCCAGUGUUUCAAGAGCAUCGAGAAGAUAAAAGCAGACAAGGAGGAAGAAAAUACAUUUUCGUGCCAAUGCUGGGUGCUCAUUGCGGCGGUGACGUUUGUCGAAAGAACAACCGAUUUUCCUGGUAAGAUCCAGAGCUAGCUAGAAUAGCAAGCAGUGAGGUGUCUUUGCUUGCUGUAGGCUUCCGAUGUACGAUGAAGCAAAGCUUCGUUUUAUAGUUUCCUUGUGGUAUUCCAAGACUAAAGUUUGCUACAUUCUUUUGUU